CCAUCUUGGAAUUGAUGCUGUAUUGGCCGCAAAAGGAGGUCCUACACCAUACUAAUAAAUUAUUGUGGUCUAAAACCAGGUGUUUCAGUUUCAUUGUCCAACCCCUGUAAGAUGAUCAUGUGUGAAAACACUAACGCACAAUGUCCGCUCCUAUAACCCUGCUCUCCACAGACAGGCUUUCUGCAGCUGCGGAGAUGGCAGCAGCAACCUGGCUGUUCCCGCUUUGUUUGUUCAGGUCAGAUAAAACAGACAGCUGAUACCUGCAGCCUUCCCUGCUGUCUGCUGCGCUGCAGGGACAUUAUAGGAACCAGGAGACAUAUGGGACAACAGUAAAGUGGAGGGUUUGAAGACCAGUAUGCACCAGAUUGAUUCAAGCACAGACUGGGAGCAAAGACAAGCUGGCUGGUAAACAUCCUACAAUCCUGCGCUGCAUCAUCGUCACAUGACCAAACAAAUAACACAUGGCCAACUCCUUCCUUCCUCCCCUCCAGAAACACAGAUGGCAACAUCAUGGAAAUAAGCAUCGAUUAUUAUUGGCCCAGUUUUACUGAUGGGGUCGAUACCAAUAUGUUAAAUAACGAUUAACAUCAGCCGAUACCGAUGUUAGUGCAGAAAAAACAUCAUAACACACACAUGAUCAUCAGUGGGGACUGUGUGUGGAGGGUGGCUUCUUGGGCGUCCACAUCGAGGAGGACCUGACCAGGAGCAUGAACACGUCUGAGCUGAGGAAAAAGGCCCUGUAGAGACUUCUGUCAAUGCUCUAUUGGGAGCAUAAUGACCUACUGCAUCAGUGUGGUCCACCAGCUGUACGGUGGCUCAGAGGAAAGCGCUGCAGAUCAUUGGCUGACCUCUCCCCACACUUGAACUUCACAGUUCCUGCCAUCUCCAAAAAGGACACUUCUCACCCGGGUCAGGUUCUGUUUGAACCCUCACCUUCAGGCAGACGCUACAGAUCGGUUAAAGCAGGGAGAAGGAGAUCCAGCAACAGUUUCAGUCCAACAGCAGCAGCUGAACUCAACACAGCCAGAAUGUAAAGCAGAUGUAAUAAUGGGAACAGUGUAAUAAUUUUUAUGUUUUUAACAACUGUUUCUAAUUUUCUAUUUUACAUAAAGUUUUUAAUCGCUCUAUGCACUGACCAGACAUUUUUUUUCUCAGUUUUGUUGUACUUGUGAUAAUGAUAGUAAAAGAUAUUAUUUUCUAUUGAACAGUGAAAACAUAUUUCAAUCUGUUUUGUCUUCUUGCUUCCAUAACGAUUUGGUCAAAAUCUAAAGUAAAACAAUGUGAAAACGUAGAGCCGGUGAUGUGGGAAACAGUGCAGUAAUCAUUUGUUUGUUUUUAUGUAAAACAGUCAGUGUGGAGACAGGAAGCAGGUCUGCAUUUGGUACCUUGGUUUCCAAGAAGCUGGGCUGCUGAUCCUCUUUAUAUAACAGAUUAUCAACAUGCACACAGCCUUUAUUUUUCCCCAUUUAAAAGAAAAAAAGAGAAGCUGGACCAGGUCAUAAGACCUUGUUUUUCCACAAGAGUGAAUCAGUAAAAAUAAAGGCUCCCACUGGCCUGAGAGGCCUGGAUAUAGGAGAGGAUUUGCUUCUAAUUUAAAAUCAGACAGUCAGCUGGAGCCGGUACAUUACAUUCACUCUUAUUGGCUUUUUCAUGUCGGGCUUUGUGGAUGUAAACAACUGGGCUGCCGGUGGUUGCAUAACAGACAAAUAAUGCAACAGUUACAGAAGGCUGCAAAGCUGAUCGGCUUUGGGUCAGCAUGCGUGACGUGACUGCAACCUGUUCUGUUUGAAUCACGAUGAAGGUUUGAAUUAAAAUAUCAUGAUAUCUGCAUGGCACUUUCAUCAGUCUAAUCACAUCCAAAUGUUUUCUUUAAAUGCUAUUUAUUGUUGAGGUAGGAAAUCAUCACAACAGGUUCCAAAGAUGAAUAAAAAUAGUUUCAUUUUCAACGACGCAUCUCAAAAGUUAAUUUAUUUCAGUAGUUUAGUUCCUCUCAAGGCCGUUUUAUCCCUGUAGCUGGUGCACUUUUUUCUUCCACUAAACUAUUUAUAUGCUUGGAUACAGCCCUCUGUGAACAACCAGGUUCUUUAGCAAUGACCUCAUGACCUACCCCCCCUUGCAGAGGGUGUCG